GACGAACGCUGGCGGCGUGCUUAACACAUGCAAGUCGAACGGAAAGGCCCUGCUUUUGUGGGGUGCUCGAGUGGCGAACGGGUGAGUAACACGUGAGUAACCUGCCCUUGACUUUGGGAUAACUUCAGGAAACUGGGGCUAAUACCGGAUAGGAGCUCCUGCUGCAUGGUGGGGGUUGGAAAGUUUCGGCGGUUGGGGAUGGACUCGCGGCUUAUCAGCUUGUUGGUGGGGUAGUGGCUUACCAAGGCUUUGACGGGUAGCCGGCCUGAGAGGGUGACCGGGCACAUUGGGACUGAGAUACGGCCCAGACUCCUACGUGAGGCAGCAGUGGGGAAUAUUGCACAAUGGGCGGAAGCCUGAUGCAGCAACGCCGCGUGCGGGAUGCCGGCCUUCGGGUUGUAAACCGCUUUCGCCUGUGACGAAGCGUGAGUGACGGUAAUGGGUAAAGAAGCACCGGCUAACUACGUG
rnacentral:rRNA from 1 species